AGAAGGGUGGAGCCAGAAUCCACCCCUCCUAGACCUAUUUAAGAGCUGGCUACCAUUAGGGAAGGAUCUGUUCUGGAGAUUGCCUUUGCUGGUGUUUUGUGAGUGAGCCCAGGAUAGGGUUAAAUGCAGAGCUAUGUGGGUAUGGAAGCAGAAAAAACCUUGCUGCUCUCCCCUCCUGGUGUGGAAAACAACAGGAGUGAUCACGGCAACACAGCAGAGCAGGAGUAAACGAGAUCUUACAUGAAGAUCUCUCAAUCAGACUACAUUUCUCAUGAGACAUCAUACAGCACUCCAGCCAAGGAUGGAGUCCACGCUUAAUCCUUGCAGUAUGGCAGGACAGUGCAGCACCAUCUCAUAAUGGAUAGGUCUAGUUUAAAACUGCAGUUUUAAGUACUUUUUUAAUUUGUUUUGGGAAAAGGAUCAUGUGUGUGUAUAUGAAUGCCAGGUCUACUGGCUAUUGAAAACUGUACUCUUUACUCAGGAUGCAUAGAUUUGAUUAUGCAAUCUUGCUGGAACAGUUUUCUAAUCAAUAUCAGUAUUAUUCGCUUAAUGAUUGUUAAAAAAGGAAGAAAGAAAACUGGUGUUUCUAAACAGCUCUAUUAUCAGCUACUAAGAGGAACAACCACCUUUUUAUUUAAAAGAAUGGUUGUUUGGGGAUAUAAUGAUUAUUUGUAGAGCGCUGGGAUAUAGGAGGGAGGAUUUAGUUAAACUGAGUGCAUAAAAUCAUGCUGUGUUCCUUGAUAUCACCUCAUAGACUGGUUUAUUUCCAGUGUCACCUUCACUGUUUUGUAAUCUGUAUGCAUAGUGAAUAAACUCUACACCUAAGGACUUGGACUUGAUGAUCCUUAGGGGACCUUUCCAACUCAGGAUAUUCUGUCAUCCUGACUCUACUUUCUUUGAAGUGCAUCCGUGACAUUUAUCUGCAAGGCAAAGCUUGCUCUUCUCCACAGUAAACUGAUGGAGGGACACCUUAAAAUCCCUGGAGUCCAGGCACCUGCAAAAUGUGGGGAGUGUAUGGUCACUACUUGCUUUCACUUAUUAGUGACCAGACUUGAGCUUCGCCAGCUUAUGGCUCAGGUUUUGUCAAGUCUUACUGAGCUAAUUUCCACUGGGACUAAUCAAAGCAUAGCCUGAGCAUUUGAUGGUUUGGACCCCUGUCAGAAAUACAUGACUAUUUUGAUAUUGCCAAAAAAUAUAUUGCUAAAGAGAAUUGUUUCCUUUAUUUAUAUUCAUUUAUGCUUGGGCUAUAGCACAGGCAAGAGCAAAAUCCAUCUGGAAGAAGAAAAAAACAAAGUCAAGGUAAAAACAAAAUCUUUCCAACAUCAUUCCUGUAGUGGUAAGUCAUCCUGCUGAGAGCAACAGAUUAGAUCCUGCCACAAUACAUCUCAUAACCUACAUCCUGAAAACAAGCUAGAAUAGAUUUCCAGAGUGAGAAAUACAUAGAUAUAGUUUUGGGAGAAUAUUAUGGAAAUAAGUAUUCAGCAAGAGGCAAGCAGUAUGAGGUGUUACCCUUCAUUAGCUCUUGUGUUGAUAUAAGCGCUUGUUUCAGAGUCUCUCUCCCUCUUGAGGACUACAGGUAAUGGACGAGCGGUUUUGUCUUCAUUCAAACUAUCAUUACUGUAGAAUCAAUUGAAACAUUAAGAAAAUAAGGGACAAAAAAUUUAAUUCCUCUGUAACAACAGUUUUGACCCUUGGUCAAGGUUCUUUAAGAAUAUAACCAGGCCUUGCAAUGUAAUUAUGUUUUGAAACUUGUACCUAAACACUUUUACACCAGUCUGUGUACCAGUCUCAGAAAAAUGGAGACACUGAAAACAUAACAUUCAGUUUGUUAAGGACAAGAACUCUUUCCUCUUAAAGUUCUUUUAUUCUUUUUGCCUCUGAUGUCUCUAUUUUCUAUAUUCCAUUCUUUCUGUGCUCUUUGGUCUUGAGUCCACCCAGUCCUCUUCAUUUUCAUUGCAAUUUUUCCUUUCUCUUUAUGUAGCAUUUUCUCUAUGAGAUGUUUUGCAUACAUUUUUCUUCUUGCAUUAACCUUAAGUCUAAUCCUGCUAUUGACAAGUCACCAGAACCUAUUGAGGGUCAACAAAAAGGAUUCCUUCUGAUUUUUACUGCUUUGUGAAGUACAUUCAACAAUAUUGAGCAAAGAAGCAUCAUGUGAGACUCAGGACAGAGCUGUAAUGCUGCAUUCAAGGGCACAGCCUGUAUGAAGCACAUUAUAGAGUUUUAUUGUAGCACAUUGAUUACGUGUACUUAAAUGUCUACACUCCACCUUCUAAGUUUAAAUUCACAGGACUGUAAAAUGGUUUAAUUUUAUAAAAAUCCAUAUUCUUUUUGAUUAUCAUACUAAAUUUUUCUGCAUGGACUAGCACAAUCUUCUGAUGCAGAGUGCAUCUGACUAUUAAAAUGCAACUUACAAAUGAACACGAGUGUGAAAUACCUUUAUUUGCCACGAAGCAGAAGUGAGGUCAUGCCUUGCAAGGAUAUUCAUACUUCCUUCUCAUAUUUCCUUGAGGUCUCAAUGGAUUCCUGUUUAAGGGAGACCCAUAUACCUGACCACUGUGGGAAAGAGUCCUGCACACAAGUAACUACUUGAGGAAGGAAAUGUAGGAACAGGUGCAAGAAGUAGUGGAUAUCAGCUGAAUCCAUACUGACUUUUACAAGAUGUAUUCACUGAUCUGUGCACUCAUUAAUAAGUGAUAUGAAGAUGUCACUUAAAGCACAGUAUCAGCCUUUGCUGAUGAUGUACCUGGCAAGGUGUUGGUGGCAGAGUGGCUUAAUAGGGAAGCCAUUGUGAAAAGAGAACAGGGCUACCCCAUGCUGGAUACAGGAGAAAGUGUCAGUAUUUUAAAUAAUUGCAAAAAUAUGAAACUUAUUUUCCAGAAGUCAAAACUGUUUCACCACCAUGGUAACUGGUAAUUGAUUUCCCUGUCUUUUUUGCUUAUGUUUUUUUCCCUGCUUUCUCCCCCUACCUCAUUCCUUCCUGAUGAGUAAACAAGCAGCUGGGUAGGAACUUGACAUCUAACCAAAGCCAAUCCAUUGCAAAGAUUGACUCAGGUUAGUCAAAGUUAAAGCUUGGUAUUGAAUGACUUAAUGAUAAAAUUAGAAGAUGAAAUUCAGCAUUAGUACUGUUAAUUAAUGAUCGUGGCAAAAAAGAAGAAAAAGCACUUGCAAUGCUGUUGGAACUGUUCUCUGUAGUUGCAGUGUUUAGUGUAAGAGCCAAAGGAAUAACUAAGAAGUUAAAUGUGAUUUUUUUUCAGUUGUUUUCCAAUAAUUCACAAUUAAUUCUUUUGCAAAGACAGUUCUGUCAUGUCAACCAUUUGACUCUACCAAAUUAUGACAAUAUUCUGGAGAACGAAUACACUUUACAGAGUGGAAGUUCCAGAAGAAACUUUUAAAUUGGAAAAAGGACAAUAUUCACUGGGCUCUCCCAUAUGUGGAUAUUCUGUCCUAUGAGGCGUCUUUUCUAUCUGGGCCAAGCUUGACAUAGAAAUCAUCUCUCCUGAAAUGAUAUGUUUCUUAUGAUUCACAGUGCAAAGUUUGGUUGGAGCAAAACCACACUGCAUAAUGCGGAAUAAAGUGCUUCAGGGAGCAUGGCUGAUAAGGUAGAAAGGAACCCAGACUACUACUGGAUUGGCAAUGAACUAGGGAAAAUUGCCUAUGAAUAUUUUCUUAAACCAAUUUGAGUUUAAAUAUUUUAUUUCAUUUCACUGAAAAGAUUUAUUUUGCUCCAUACUGGAUCAGACCUACCAUAUGUUUCCUUGUUAAAUCUGUGUUUUAAUUACAUUUUAAAUUAAUUACUAAAUAUUUUGAAAUACCAAAAUCAAGAUUUCCCUGAGAGGGAAAGAACUGAAAUCUCAGUAGAAAACAUCUGACCAGUUUUUAUGUUUUGGUGUAUAACUUUGUACAGUUUAGUAUUCUGAGAAUUUAAAGACUAAGCUAAAUUAUCUGUUUCUGCUUGAAGGCUAAAGUUUGCUAUCUUCAGCUGCAAAUCAUCUCCAUACUGCAAACUAUCUCUAUACUGAAAAUCUUGCCCCUUUCCCUCAUACACACUGAUUUAUCUGUUGUAUUACUGUCCUACCUCUUCUGCAAAAAUGGUUUAGGUCAGAUAUAUACACAGGAAGCAGCCAUCUGAACUGGGAAGGGAAUAUGUCCACCUGGAAGCAGUUAAAAGAGAACAGUAUGAUAUAUUGAGGUACUUAAUGAGAUGAGAUCGAUUCAUUCAUCUGACUGCAUAAAACUUCACUAAGUGCUGUGUUCCUUUUUGAAGACCAAACAUAAACUCCUAAUUCACUCUGGUAUACUUGAAUGUACACUUAUGGUCCAAAUUCUAGACUACUAGUUACAGGCAUCGAAAUAUAACCCUCCAGAGCUAGACAUUCAUUUAGUUAAGAGAUUGUUUCUCUUCUCAAAGUUAUAAUUCAUUGCUUGUUUUACUUACUAUUCUCACUUGAGAAUUUAAGUCUUCCAAAGUAAAAUACAAAAAUUUCCAAAAUCCUACAGUGAAGGAAGUUCAGUAAAGCAGUAUUGGUCUUUGAGAGACAGUUGUCAAGGCUAAGCUUAGUGAGUUAGUUCAAUGUCAGACUGCAGUUUAGGAAACAAAGACAGUAGAAGUAAAUGAUAGCUGUGAAUGUAUCAGCUUCUUACAGUGUUAGUAAGUGUUUUCAAGAAUUAAACACUAUCUAUAUCCAAAGCAGACUACAAAAUGCAAAGAAACAGAGUUACUGUAUCCUAAUAAUCAUAGAAUCACAAAAUGGCUUGGGUUGGAAGAGCCCUUAAAGCCCAUCCAAUUUCUACUCCCUGCCAUGGGCAGGCUGCUACCCACUAGAUGAGGCUGCACAGGACUCCAUCCAGCCUGGCCUUGAGUGCACUCAGGGAUGAGUCAGCUACAACUUCUCUGAGCAGCCUUUGCCACUGCCUCACCACCUUCUGAGUAAGAAAUCAUCUUCUAAUGUCCAGUAUAAAUCUUCCCUUUUUUUAGUUUAAAACUAUUACCCUUUGUACUACCUCUGUCUUCCCCUGUAAAAUAUCUUUCUCCUGUUUAUAAGCUCCCUUUAAUCACUUGAAGGCUGCAGUGAGGUCUUUUGGAGCCUUCUCCUCUCCAAGCUAAACAAGACCAACUCCAUCAGCUUUUUUUCAUAGGAGAGAUGCUCCAGCCCUGUGAUCAUCUUCACAGCCUCCUCUGGACCCACUCAAACAACUCUGCAUGCUCCUCCAGAUCUGGACACACUAUAUCAGUUCCAGUACAAUGUCCAAGUAAGACCAAAAAUAUAUGGAGAGACUUCUGUGAAUAAGACUCUUGAUUCUGAGCCCAGUACUGUCAUCAGUAGCCUUAGACUUGGUAGGAGAAACCUGCGUUUCAAAGGACAGGACAGGACAUGUCAAGAGUGCAGCCAUGGUCCAAGCAGCACACCAUGAAUAGAAACAUUGCAAGGACUGGAGAGUAACUACUAUGUUCCAGAUAGAAGAUACAUGUGCCCUUGGCCACAUCAGGGACAUAAAAACAAGAUCUAAGAAAGUAUCAGAGAUUAAAGCCGCGCUUGGGAAUUCUAUCUUUAAUAGUAAAUAAGCAUUCCCUCUCAAAACACAUUUCAGCAUAGCCAUGAAGUUUUUGUGGUGAACAUAGAGAUAGGGCAAUAUUCAUACAUUACACAUAAUUUUUCCUCAGGUGUUUCAAAAACACUCAAAGUGGUUUCCCAGUUCAGCCCUUGGAAGUCAUGUCUGACAGAGGAACUGGGUAACACACAGAGAGCUUCCUUUGUUUUCCUCUAGUUUGAAUAUUUGGUUUAAAAUACAUCCUUCCAGUGCAGAGCAAGGAAUAUUGUCAAGUGAAUUUCAAAUGUGCCUGUUAAAAAUACAAAUUAAAGUGGGAUUUAAAAAAAAAUCACCUUCCGCCAAUAAUGAAGCCAUCAAGAAAAGUAACACUAACAAACAGAAAUAGGGUCCCAUUAUGUGAGUUGCAGACCAUCUUAAUAGAUGGAAAUUUGCCUGUCUCAGUCUACAUAAUUAAAAUGUACUGUAUAUAAUUAAAAUUAAUGUAAUUAAAACAGUCUCAGCACCAAGUUUAAUUAUGUCACUCAAAUAUUGCUUCUAGACACACCAAAAUCAGCAUGUCAGUAAUAAGAUAAAUCUCUAUAUUCCUUUAGAUUAAUAAACAGAUGGGACUAAAAAAGGAAAAAGAGCUAAAAAAAAUAUCAACACUGAAAUAAUUAUUUUAUUCAACAAAUAGAAUGGAGCUUUUUCUCCUAAACUGUUAUUCUUAUGGGUAGCCUCACAGGGAUCUCUGCUUUAAUGCAUGUAUAGAAAUAACCAGUAGCUUAAAUAUCAGAGAAGCCAAACUCAACAGUUUAAUCCUCUGAUGUAAUUCUGUACCACUUACAAAGAAGAUAGAACACAAUUCCAACAAUUAAUUGUGUGAGAAGGAAAGCUCACAAGGCUUUUCACAGGUGAACCUCAGUACCAUCAGCUUUACACCACAGCUUAUCUCAGCACCUUAUCUCAGCACCUCACCACCCAUGUCACUGAUGUACGUGUUUGGUCUGUAGUCUGGGCAAAAGUCCAUGUACCCUAUGGUUGUGGUUGAACAAGUGUUGAUGGAGAGAAAAACGAAGACUUGAGACCUGUCCAGUUCUGGUCAUAUUGGUCACCAGAUCAAAGGAUGCCAACUGAUACUGCAGCUGCAUAAGCAUCUUGCAGUUGGGAAAAAAAGGCUGAGAAAAGAGUUGAGGUGGCAAAGAGAAAGUUUAUAUUUGUAGAGAAGUUUUCCAAGAGGGAAAAAAGUUCUGCAAUCUGUUGUUUUACAACAUAAGCUGUGGGCUAAUAAGAUAUAUAAAGUUAUGUUGACAACUGCAGGUGUUUCAUGCUUACCAUUUCAAUUAAAUAUUCCUGAAGUGGUUAUUAUAUACCAGCAUUGUAAAUGAGUUUUUUUGAUGUUGUCUAAAAAGUUUCUGAGAUUGGAAUAUGAUGCUGUAAGAAUAACAAAGUUUUUGCACAAAUAAUGCUGAUUGUGAAGGUCGCAAUACAUCCUGAAAUCUUCUCUCAAACAGGAUUAAUUUUAGGUAACUAAGCUCUCAGCAACCACAAUAGUCUGUAUGCUGUUAGCCCUCUCAAACACCACUAGUUUCCCUAGGUCUGUCAUGGUUUUAUGAUUUUUGGUUAUGGGUAUUACACAUCAUAACAGCAUGUAAUGUACUGGGGGUUUGACUGUUGAUGCUCAAGUUCCAGGUGCCUGUCCGGAGGAGAAGAAGAGCUACAUUCCCCAGGGGGCUUUGCGAUCAGUGAGGAGAUAUAAGUCCUGAUAAGGUCACCUGAUGUUCUCUUCUUUGCCUGCGCUUCUUCAUCUGCACUUCUCCACCUGCUUUUCUUCAUCAGCUCAACUGGACUGCACAUCUUACCUCAGCACUGCAGUGAGGCCUAUCCACUUUUCAGACACACUCUCUCUCUCAUUAUAUUUUGAUUUAUUAACUUCCAUUAUAUUGCAUUAUCUUGCAUUCUGAUACUAUAUUUAGUAAAUUUGUUUCACCUCAGAUCAUUGCCGCUGUUUUCAAUUAUUUUGAGGUCCCAUGUUUCCAGAGGUGUGGAUCCACAUAUCCCUCUGCCCUGCUAGUCACCGAACCAGGACAAACCAGCCCAUAAACCAUUGACAAGGUCCCAUACUUAAAAGACAGUGGUAAUCCUUAGCGUUUCUACAGUGCCUCUUAAGGUAUUUUGUUGGCAAGUAUAUGGCGAUGAUAUUGCUUUCCAUCCGUCUUUGAGGCUGCAGUGUAAUACCUUCUAUCUACAAGAUAACUGGAAAUGGAUUAAUGGGAUAAAGUUGAACCUUAUCAACACUAAAACAGUAUUUCAGCUUAGAUUUGCUGACCUCUUGUCAUGAUAAGAUGAAUGUAUUCUUGAGUGUGAAAUGAAACAAUUUCACAGGAGAGUUUUUCAUUUCACAGCUAUUUUGCCUCAUUUUUUAUAUCUGGAAAUUAAAUCAUUAAUAUAGCCUAGUAGGGGCUCUAUUAACAAUAUAUUUAGUAGAGGCUAAAAGAUUUAAGUUUCACAGAAUUAUUUGUAUGUGGAAUGUCUGGUCUUCUUUUAGCUCUAAUCAUUUAUACAUUUCCUUGUAUUAUCUGAGGGGAGGGGAGAGAGGUAGUAGGGACAAAAAAAGUAAAGAAACAACAGGCUUCAAGAUACUUAUAUAAGUCAAAUGUUUUUGAAUGGCAAAACCUGAUGAAUUUGACUUCACAAUCUGAAAGAAUGGAGUCAGGCAGUCUCAGAUGCAAUAUCAGUUGUUUUAGGGAGCUUAAAGAGGGUAAGCGAGAUACCUGAUGAUACAGACUUAUCUCUAAACAGAACUGUGGGGUGGGAGCUGAGAAGCCAUCAACCAUUGUAAUGUCCAGGCAGCUGAAAGAGCCCUGAAGUGAAAAAUAGAGGAGGCAAAGUGCAUAUUGGUCUAACAGAGAUAAAACCUCUUAAAUCAGUUUUUCCAGUAAGCUGGUGAGGUUAACUACUUCUCAGUAGUUAAUUUCCUCUGUUUUCCAAAUAGAGUAAGAUUUUGAGAAUUUUUUACUUGACAUUAUUAUAAAUAGGAUAUGGAAUUAAGGUACAGAUAAAACUAUUACAAAAUAACUUGCAAAUGGCAAAAAUGCUUGUAAAAAUCUUAGAUGAUAGAGAAUAUCACUGGUUCAUGAUCAGAACAAUACAGAAUGAGUGGUUUUGAAGAGUUCUUCCCUUGGUCUAGUAUUAAUUAAUAUACUUAUUAGAGAUCUAAAUGGUAGAAGAAAGAUUAUUUUCACUGAACCAGCAGGUGAUAUCACCCUAUAUACUGCUGCUACAUUAGAUAGCAGCAUUAGAAUGCAAUACAAUCUUGACAAAUAGGCAAACCAGACUGGAAAAGGAAUAAUAAUAUAGUUCAGCAGGGAGGAGCACGCAUAUAUAGCCAAGAAUAAUCAAUUACAUGACAUGGGAUCAGGAAUGAUUGCCUAUACAGCAGUUCUGCGGAAAAGAUGCACUUUGUAAUGGAUUACAAGGGGAACAUGAGCCAAACAAAGGUCUAUACAAGAACAAGAACACGUAGGUACAUCCUGCCUAAUGCAUGAUUUAUUUUUCAUGCUUUUUGUGUGUGUUUAUGAACUGCAUUUUAACAUCUAUGAAUGCAUAUGAAAAAAAAUUUGCCCCUUUCUAAUCACAACAAAUAGCACACAAAUGUAAAAGGCGCAGAUUAUUUUCUGGCUUAUGUGGCAUCAAUGAAUUUGUUCAUAAAAUCUCCUUACAAAAAAUUUAUUAUAGAUAGUAUGCUGAAAAUUAGAAAAUAUUCCCCUGUUGAAUUCCAAAUCUGAUUAAAUUUGCAUUGCUGUAUAUUUUAAAAAUUAAUUUUCCUGAUACAUUUUAAAUAGAAUUCAUUAUGACGCUAAGAAAUAAAAACAAUUAUUGACAUUGUCCCCUCCCAGCCAUUUUAAGCAGCAACUUCUCAAAGUAUUAUUGCACUUUAAUUAGAAAUAUGAAUGAUAGGGAUUAAUUAAAAAUGUGUAGACUGCAGAUUCGUUCAAAAGAGCCAUGCAUAACACUAAUUAGAAUUUUUGUUAUUAGUUCUUGGUAAUAGGAAAAAUGUGAAAAUAAAUGUAUUUUCCUAUUAAUAGAGAUUGAUUGAAAAGCAUACGAACAUCUCCUCUCAUUUUCAUCUACCCUUUGUGUAAGAAACAAAAAGAGAGAUAAAUACCUACUUUCUUCUAUGGAAAUGAAAAACAGUGUCUUUAUUAUAUAAUGUAUUAAUCAAAGUAAAAGUAAUUUCACUUCUUAAAAGUAGUUACUGAGCUAAGAGUUUCAAAUGCUAAACCCAAACUCCCCUAAAGGACAGGUGGCUUAUGGACAUUCAGUUCUCUUCAGCAAAACACUGUCACUAAUAGAGGCUGAAAUAUGUUGAUGUUAAGCAAAAUAUAUCUCUUCCACAAUCCUGAUUGUUUAUCAUCAUAAUCUACAGAUACGAAUUAUAUGAACUACACAGAACAGAAGGCCAGGGAGUGAACCCAGAGGAGCAUCAGACAAUUAUCAUUAUGUUUGAUGUGUAUUUAUUUAAUUGAUGUGGUAAAGACAAUACUUUGGAGCAAUAAAUCACACCCUAAGUUGUUAUUUAUUAAUAUCUGUGAACAGAAGGAACUAAAGUGGGAAAACAGCUCACAAAAUACAAACCAAUCUGCUGGCAAGAUGCAGUCAUUAAAGCAACCUCAGAAAUUCUGCUUUUGCUUGAGGUGUAUUCAUUAUAAUACAGUAAUAAUGGCUCAAAGUAUUUGCUCACAGUGUGGCUUUUUUUUUUUAGAUUAAAUUAUGCUCGUACCUGUUGAGAAUGAAAGGGAAAGAAAUAAAGCACAAAAAUAUCCUCUUUUUACCCAGAAAUUCUUAAAUUCUCAGAGUUACCCUGCAUGUCAAGUCAAUAGAGUCAUCUUCUCUUAUAGAAUGAGGGCUUCUCUGUAGAAAAACACUAAAGUUCUUGCACCUCUGGAUUGAACUGAAAACCUCAGAUAUCAAGUCUGGUGACUGGAUUAUACUGGAACCCAUGUCACUCAGAGUACUGAAUGUCACCCUGAAUUUUCAGGCUUUUUAAUCUCAUAUCAACAGUGGAACACUAGGGUUUCACAAGCAUAUCCUUGUAGAUUUGUCUGUAAUAAAGGUCCUUAAAACAAAACUAAAUGGAUGAAGCUGAUGAUGUCUGUCAGAUCUAGAAAUUACUCUUGUCUGCGGGUCUCAGACAGAGGUUAAAAAAUGUUGACCUAAGAAGAAGGCUGAAAUAAAUGGCUGAAGAAAAGAGUGACACAGGAUUCUGUGGUGUACCAGAGAAUUGUGUUCUGGGUCAUCCAGUGCAAAAAUGAUGUGAGCGUACUGAAGGGAUUCCAGCAGAGGGCCACCAAGAUCCUGGAGCACCUGUCAUGUGAGACUGGGAAUGUUCAGCCUUGGAAAGAAGAGGCUCAGGGGCAUUUCAUCAAUGUCUGUAAACAUUUGAAGGCAAAGUGCAAGGCUCUCUGCAGUAGUGGUACCCAGUGUCAAGGCAAGAGGCAAUAGGCACAAACUGGAACAGAAACUUUCAUCUAAGCAUCAGGAAGCACUUCUGUGCUCUGUGGUUGACAGCACUGGCACAGGUUGCCCAGAGGUGGUGGAGCCUCCUUGGAUAUCUUCCAAAGUCACCUGGAUGUGGACCUGGGCACUCUACUUUCAUGUCCCUGCUGGAGCUCAGGUUAGACCAGAUCACUUCCAACUUCAACCAUUCUGUGGUUCUGUGAUUCUGUGGCAUACAUGAACAUUUCACACCUAAUGAUGAAUCACUCCUUUGGCUCAGAUGGACCUCUGAAUUUAUUCCUCAAUGUCUCUAAAUUUGUUUGGACCAAACACAGCACAAAUAAGGUAGCCGCAGAAGUCUCCAUGAGGACUGUGUGAAACCUGAAUAUCCCUGAGAAAAUGAGCUCAACCCUUUAAUUUGCCAGCACAAUAGAUACUCAGCUGAAAGACUGAAAGGACAAUAUUCCCUGUUAUUCUUCAAACCUACCAAUUCAUCCAAACUCAUGAGGAUGAUCUAAGGAACAAACAGGUGCUAAUUCAUUCCAUUCACCCUCCAGGUUUCGUUUCAGUAUGUCACAACCGCCAGUAAAGCAGAAAUAGAUUGUUUUUAGCAAGUGCACUGUUUUCCUCUAAAAAGUAUAUAGCUCUAAGGCAGGAGAGCUGGAACUCACUGUGCACGUUAAUUAGUUGUCUCUUUAGUCCAAAGACUCUCUGGGCCCUACAGCCACAUCCACACAACACAACAGGUACUUCAUACUGCAGUUUAACAUGAUGUCUGCUUGCUGCUCUCACUUCUGUGGAAAACUCAGAAAAAGCAUCAUUAUUUUAGGAUGACAAGACAAGAAAGAAAAGGUGCCAAAAUGUGGAACAAAAAUUAAAAAAAUGACAGACCAAAAAUUUGACAAUAAAAAACAGCCUUUUAAAGUAACCCCUCAGGGUAACAGUACCUAAAGAAAUUCAUACUGAGUCUUCACCCUUCGCUGAUAUAUGUGUUUGUUUCCAACUGCUGUAAAAGCCAUUUCCCAGAGCUAGAGCUAACAACACAUUUGGACAUGUUCCAUUGAUUAAUUUAUUUUUCAUGAAGGACUAUUAGAUAUCUUUGACUUGGAGUCGUUGCUGCUUUAAUAUUUCCCAGGAUGGAAGCACAACCAAUAUUCAUUAUGCCUUUGCAGAAAAAACAAACAAACGAAAAAAACCCAUAGUAGUGAAGUUAUUGAGUCCUGAACUCAAAUACAUCUAUUUGCCCAUCCAUCAAACUUAGAAAGCAAUCCACUCUUGAUGCAAUGGGUAAAAUACUUGAGUAAAAGUAUGUAUGUAAAUAAAAUAACUACAAAUGUACACCUUUUCCCCUAUACAAAUAUGGAAAAAAAAAGAAAAAAAGAAAAAAAAAAAAGAAAAAAAAAAAAGUGUCUGUACAUAACUGCAGUGAUGAUAUAUUUAAAAUGGAUUGAUACCUGCUCUCUGACUGGAGGCUUGAAUUUUUCUGGCUCAUUUAUGUCUCGAAUUGGUGUUCUUUGUAGCUGUCAUUAAUUCUUGCCCUUAAUAAAAUCAGUAAAGUCUU